UACGUAGGUGGCAAGCGUUGUCCGGAUUUACUGGGCGUAAAGGAUGCGUAGGCGGACAUUUAAGUCAGAUGUGAAAUACCCGAGCUUAACUUGGGUGCUGCAUUUGAAACUGGGUGUCUAGAGUGCAGGAGAGGUAAGUGGAAUUCCUAGUGUAGCGGUGAAAUGCGUAGAGAUUAGGAAGAACACCAGUGGCGAAGGCGACUUACUGGACUGUAACUGACGCUGAGGCACGAAGGCCAGGGGAGCAAACGGG
rnacentral:rRNA from 1 species